rnacentral:rRNA from 1 species
CAAUAGCGUAUAUUAAAGUUGUUGCAGUUAAAAAGCUCGUAGUUGGAUUUCUGGUAGGAGCGACUGUGCCGAACUUGAUUGUUCGAGUAUUGUGUUGUCUUCAGCCAUCCUCGUGGAGAACUUUUCUAACAUUAACUUGUUGGGAUUGGGACCCGCGUCGUUUACUGUGAAAAAAUUAGAGUGUUUAAAGCAGGCAUUAGCUUGAAUACAUUAGCAUGGAAUAAUAAGAUAGGACUUUGGUACUAUUUUGUUGGUUUGCAUACCAAAUUAAUGAUCAACAGGAACAGUUUGAGGAUAUUCGUAUGAACAUGUCAGAGGUGAAAUUCUUGGAUUUUGAUCAGACGAACUACUGCGAAAGCAUUUAUCAAGGAUGUUUUCAUUAA